rnacentral:rRNA from 1 species
GGGUCCGCACAAGCGGCGGAGCAUGCGGAUUAAUUCGAUGCAACGCGAAGAACCUUACCAAGGCUUGACAUAUAGAGGAAAAGUGCAGAAAUGCACUCCCCGCAAGGUCUCUAUACAGGUGGUGCAUGGUUGUCGUCAGCUCGUGUCGUGAGAUGUUGGGUUAAGUCCCGCAACGAGCGCAACCCUCGUCCUAUGUUGCCAGCACGUAAUGGUGGGAACUCUAAGGAGACUGCCGAUGACAAAUCGGAGGAAGGUGGGGACGACGUCAAGUCAUCAUGGCCCUUACGUGUAGGGCUACACACGUGCUACAAUGGCCGGUACAAACGGUUGCGAACCUGCAAAGGGAAGCUAA